GUCCUGCGGCACUCGGCGCACCUGCUCCCCGCGCGGGUGCUGGAGUUAAAGCGCUGGAGAAACUGGAUUUCCGCCAGUGAGGAGGUCACCUGUGCGCCCUAAAGGCCCGGAGUUCCCAAGUUAGCAGGUGUUCCAGCUCCGCCAACUUUGUGAAUUUCACCAGAGGACUCCAGUUACUCCGCUGCAGGUGGUUUGAAAAGCACUGCUUUUAACAACGCUGUCCUACCGCCUUUUUAGUGGGAGAAAUAAAAUACUGUACAAAGCAAGUAACAAACGACGUUUCAAUGAAGGAGAGAAGAGGAAGAGAGAAAUUCUGUCGGGAAGAAACAAUUUGAGUUAGAGAGGUCUUCCCAUUCCAAGG
rnacentral:lncRNA from 1 species